UUGUCCUUCCUCACUCUCGUGGCUAUUGGCGCUGCUCAACCUGCGCAUCUGCCAUCUAUCACCUCGUUACCUCUAGCAGCCUACACACCUGCCAUGCAUCAGCUCAUCACUUCUCCUGCAUAUGCUCUUCUUCCACUUGUUGCCAGUUCCGUCUUAUUUGCUCCAGUACCUGUCUUCUUGGCUUUGCCCCUCUGCCCUGGAUCCCUGCUCAGCUCAACCAUAGAUUCCAUCGUGGACAUUUGGUUCAGCUCAUCCCUGGUUUUCCUCCUGCACUGCUCACCAGCUCAGUCAUCCACGCUCCCAUGCUUCCUCUCUGCUCAGCUCAUUUCUGGCUCAUAUCCAUUCCCUCCCAAGCUCCCAAAUAAAGAAGCUUCUUUGUUUCUAA